rnacentral:rRNA from 1 species
GAGUUUGAUCAUGGCUCAGAGCGAACGCUGGCGGCAGGCCUAACACAUGCAAGUCGAGCGCCCCGCAAGGGGAGCGGCAGACGGGAGAGUAACACGUGGGAACGUACCCUUCAGUUCGGAACAACCCAGGGAAACUUGGGCUAAUACCGGAUACGUCCGUAAGGAGAAAGAUUUAUCGCUGAAGGAUCGGCCCGCGUCUGAUUAGCUAGUUGGUGGGGUAACGCCCACAAGGCGACGAUCAGUAGCUGGUCUGAGAGGAUGAUCAGCCUCACUGGGACUGAGACACGGCCCAGACUCCUACGGGAGGCAGCAGUGGGGAAUAUUGGACAAUGGGCGCAAGCCUGAUCCAGCCAUGCCGCGUGGAUGAUGAAGGCCCU